GAUGACGCGGAGGGACAUUACCGAGUUUACAACUCCCAAACCCAAUGUGAACGUUACCAAACUGUUGCCUCGGCGGGGUCACGCCCCGGGUGCGUAAAAGCCCCGGAACCAGGCGCCCGCCGGAGGAACCAACCAAACUCUUUCUGUAGUCCCCUCGCGGACGUAUUUCUUACAGCUCUGAGCAAAAAUUCAAAAUGAAUCAAAACUUUCAACAACGGAUCUCUUGGUUCUGGCAUCGAUGAAGAACGCAGCGAAAUGCGAUAAGUAAUGUGAAUUGCAGAAUUCAGUGAAUCAUCGAAUCUUUGAACGCACAUUGCGCCCGCCAGUAUUCUGGCGGGCAUGCCUGUCCGAGCGUCAUUUCAACCCUCGAACCCCUCCGGGGGAUCGGCGUUGGGGAUCGGGACCCCUCACCGGGUGCCGGCCCUGAAAUACAGUGGCGGUCUCGCCGCAGCCUCUCCUGCGCAGUAGUUUGCACAACUCGCACCGGGAGCGCGGCGCGUCCACGUCCGUAAAACACCCAACUUCUGAAAUGUUGACCUCGGAUCAGGUAGGAAUACCCGCUGAACUUAAGCAUAUCAAAAAGGCGGGAGGAAA
rnacentral:rRNA from 1 species